CUACGGGAAGGCCUGUUGCUACUCUGUGAUCGGAUGUGCCCUCUGCAGAAAGCAUAUAACAAAUAAGGGUAAAAUAUAGGAUGCUUCGCUUGGAGGACAGGGUCUCCUACUCAGAGAUUUUCCUCCUUGCGUUGGCUGCGGAUCCCCAGAACCCUGCUCAACAAAGCAGUGGAAAAUGUUGCUUAGGAAUUCCAGAUCCCAAGAGAGUGGGCAACUCCCUCAUCAGAGGUGGAUUAUGUUGGCGUACUGCCUCAAUGGAAGACGUUUUGGGAACCCGGUACACAUAAGUGUACUACUGUGACAGUGUACAUCAAGUUCAUCAAGCAGAGCUUCGGUGGUCAUGCAGGUAAAAAUGGUUUUCUUUUUGUUUGUUUGUUUUUUGUUUUUGUCUUAAAGUACCAGG
rnacentral:lncRNA from 1 species